rnacentral:rRNA from 1 species
GAGAAAACCGUCGUUGCAUCGCCUGGGAAGAGCGAUACAGAACUACUCUGGAGGGCGCUUCUAUGAGACUAGGAAUUGAGAAAGAAAAAGGAAGAGGCGUCAGCGGGUCAGAAGAUCAUGUCCGCUCGGCCCCCGCGUCGCCUACCCUAGGCGACACGGGCGGCAGCCCCCAAUCGCGUCGCCACAGGCCCCCCCUCCUCCAGCGACUCCCCUCGCCGCCGCCGGAGGCCACCACCGGGCGAAGCCCGCGUCGUGGCGGCGGCGGCGGGGUCUCACCCCGUAGUGUGGCUCUCUCACGCUAGGCCCACGGCGGGCGGCCCGCCUCCUGUGGUCCGUCAGCGGCUCUCCCGCGGCCUGGCGGCCGAUCCGGUGGCGCCCCUUCUCGGUGGCUGUCCCGGUGGUGGAUCUGGUUGUGCCGCCGCGGUCCCUCCCCGCCAUGGCGACCGGCGUCGCCGGGUGCGGCGCGUCCCCUCUCCCCCCUCCCACGAGCUCCACCUCGCGCACCCACCUGCCCACUGGCCCUGGUCGUCCGGCGUCUUCCUGGCGGCAGGGCCUUGUCCCGGCCGUGCCUCCUCUUUGGCUGGCCGUGGUGGGGCUGUUGACUCCUGGCCUCCGGCUGUCCGGCGCGCUCCCAGCGGCUGAGCCUCGUCCCAGCCAUGCCUCUUCCUCUCGGGUUGGUUGUGGUGCCAUUGGCAAUGGAUUCAGGCCUCCCCUGGCUCGAUCUGUGCUGUGGUCUGUCUGUGGUGGAGCGUCCGGCGGCGCCCGUUGUCAACUUCCCCGACCGAUGGGUGCGGCUCUUCUUCCGGUGGUGUGGGCUUGGCCUACUUUGCUUUCUGCGUCUUCGAAUCCGGUUCCAGUAGCACUUGGGAUUGUGCGGAAUUUGGCCAGGGCGAAAGCCUUGCUCGGCUCACCGGUGCUGGCGGCAGCGACACCUGCGGGUGCCGUUUCCUUCUUAGAGGUGCCGCCAUGGCCUCUUCUCCGCGCCCCUACGCGAGUAUCAGGGGAAACCCUAGAUCUAGUUCACUAGAUCGGACCGGCGGCGUCUCGGCGUCGUAUCCUUCAUGAAGGCGCGGUCUUGUUGCUCGUGGUGUGUUUGGUGUUGGAUCCGAAGAUUUUGGAUGCUUUGCUGGUCUGGGCUGCUCCUCUUGGCGUGGGUAUCCGGGGCGCAAUGUACGGCCUUGACGGCGCUCUCUCCAUGGCUUCUCCUUCUAGCCGGGCCAGGUCCUGCACCCCACUUGCCGAUCUUCUAGGCGCAUAGGUGGGGGGUACGUUGAUCCGGUCCGUCGUGAAGUCGUGGUUGUGUGAUGAUGGUGCCCGGCAUUGGUCAUGACGCGCCCUUGAUACCUUGUAUCUCGCCUCUUUGCCUUGUCGGCUGGAGUCCGAGCUAGAAGAGUUUGGUGCUGUGUUGUAUCCCUCUUUGUUUUUCCCACACCUUGUGUGGUGCUUCUCCCUUCUCUUGUAUGCCUCUGUAUUUUUCUUCUAC